CUACGGGUCGCUGCAGUGGGGAAUAUUGGACAAUGGGGGAAACCCUGAUCCAGCAAUGCCGCGUGUGUGAAGAAGGCCUGCGGGUUGUAAAGCACUUUCGGUUGGGAGGACUGCUUCUAGCACUAAUAUUGUUGGAAGUUGACGUUACCUUCAGAAGAAGCACCGGCUGACUCCGUGCCAGCAGCCGCGGUAAUACGGGAGGGUGCAAGCGUUAAUCGGAAUUACUGGGCGUAAAGCGCGCGUAGGCGGCUAGAUCAGUCGGGUGUGAAAGCCCCGGGCUUAACCUGGGAACUGCAUCCGAUACUGUCUAGCUUGAGUACAGGAGAGGAGAGUGGAAUUCCACAUGUAGCGGUGAAAUGCGUAGAUAUGUGGAGGAACACCAAUGGCGAAGGCAGCUCUCUGGCCUGAUACUGACGCUGAGGUGCGAAAGCGUGGGGAGCAAACAGGAUUAGAUACCCCGGUAGUC
rnacentral:rRNA from 1 species